AACGAACGCUGGCGGCAUGCCUAACACAUGCCAGUCGAACGACACCUCCGGUUCUAGUUGCUCAUGGGUGCGUAACGCGUGGGAACCUGCCCUUAGGUUCGGGAUAACUCCCCGAAAGGGGUGCUAAUACCGGAUAAUUUCUUCGGACCACAGAUUUAUCGCCUUAGGGUGGGCCCGCGUUGGAUUAGCCUGUUGGUAGGGUAAAAGCCUACCAAGGCGACGAUCGCUAGCUGGUCUGAGAGGAUGAUCAGCCACACUGGGACUGGGACACGGCCCGGACUCCUACGGGAGGGAGCAGAGGCGAAUAUAGGAAAAUGGGCGGAGGCAUGAACCAGCAAGGCUGGGUGAGUGAUGAAGGCCUUAGAGAUGUAAAGCUCUUUUACACGGGAUGAUAAUGACAGUACCGGGAGAAUAAGCACCGGCUAACUCCGUG
rnacentral:rRNA from 1 species